UACAGAGGUCUCAAGCGUUGUUCGGAUUCAUUGGGCGUAAAGGGUGCGUAGGCGGCGCGGUAAGUCGGGUGUGAAAUCUCGGGGCUUAACUCCGAAACUGCAUUCGAUACUGCCGUGCUUGAGGACUGGAGAGGAGACUGGAAUUUACGGUGUAGCGGUGAAAAUGCGCAGAUAUCAGGAGGAACACCGGUGGCGAAGGCGGCUUGCUGGGCCAGUUCUGACGCUGGAGGAGCGAAAGCGUGGGGAGCGAAACAGG
rnacentral:rRNA from 1 species